AUUUAUCUAUUAUAAUUUAGUAUAUUUGGCUUCCAACCAGAAGGACCGGGAACGGGAUAAAUA
rnacentral:tRNA from 1 species